UACAGAGGGUGCAAACGUUGCUCGGAAUUAUUGGGCGUAAAGCGCACGUAGGCGGUUUGUUAAGUUGAAUGUGAAAACCCUGGGCUCAACCCUGGAAGUGCAUCCAAAACUGACAAGCUAGAGUGUCGGAGGGGGUCGGAGAAUUCCCGGUGUAGAGGUGAAAUUCGUAGAUAUCGGGAGGAACAUCUGUGGCGAAGGCGCCGACCUGGACGACAACUGACGCUGAGGUGCGAAAGCAUGGGGAGCAAACAGG
rnacentral:rRNA from 1 species